rnacentral:rRNA from 1 species
GUGGGGAAUAUUGGACAAUGGGCGCAAGCCUGAUCCAGCCAUGCCGCGUGAGUGAUGAAGGCCUUAGGGUUGUAAAGCUCUUUCGUCAGGGACGAUAAUGACGGUACCUGAAGAAGAAGCCCCGGCUAACUUCGUGCCAGCAGCCGCGGUAAUACGAAGGGGGCUAGCGUUGUUCGGAUUUACUGGGCGUAAAGGGUGCGUAGGCGGAUUUUUAAGUCAGGGGUGAAAUCCCAAGGCUCAACCUUGGAACUGCCUUUGAUACUGGGGAUCUUGAGUCCGGGAGAGGUGAGUGGAACUGCGAGUGUAGAGGUGAAAUUCGUAGAUAUUCGCAAGAACACCAGUGGCGAAGGCGGCUCACUGGCCCGGAACUGACGCUGAGGCACGAAAGCGUGGGGAGCAAACAGG